AAUGAACGUUGGCGGCGUGGAUUAGGCAAGCAAGUCGAGCGAGAACCGUAGCAAUACGGGGACAGCGGCGCAAGGGAGAGCAAUACGUGGAUACCUACCCUCGGGUUCGGGAUAGCUGCGGGAAACUGCAGGUAAUACCGAAUAACAUCUCCGGAUCAGAGGUGUGAUUACGCCCGGGGAGGGGUCCGCGUCCUAUUAGCUUGUUGGUGAGGUAACGGCUCACCAAGGCGAAGAUGGGUACGGGGUGUGAGAGCAUGCCCCCGCUCACUGGGACUGAGACACUGCCCAGACACCUACGGGUGGCUGCAGUCGAGAAUCCUCGGCAAUGGGCGCAAGCCUGACCGGGCGACGCCGCGUGCGCGAUGAAGGCCUUCGGGUUGUAAAUCGUUGUCAGUGGGGAGAAAAUGCCAUAGGGUUCUCUCUAUGGUUUAACCUAACCGCAGAGGAAGGAUGGGCUAAGUUCGUGCCAGCAGCCGCCGUAA
rnacentral:rRNA from 1 species